AACAUUGCAGUGAUUAUUGGUUCAGCGAAUGAUUGCAUCAUUGGUUGAUUAAAAGGGAAUUCGGUUCACUAUUACUUCUAAGUAGAACGAUAUAAAAUCCGAAGCUGUCCCCGCAACUGUAGUCCUGAAUACUGUCUAAUCAGUAUUAUAUUUUUGAUCCACAACACCACUGGUGUGCACAGCACGCUGGGAAGGUCAUCAAAAAUCAGGAAAGCCAGGAGACCUGCCAUUAAUCUUAGUAUUAC
rnacentral:ncRNA from 1 species